AUUGAACGCUGGCGGCAGGCCUAACACAUGCAAGUCGAGCGGAUGAAGGGAGCUUGCUCCUGGAUUCAGCGGCGGACGGGUGAGUAAUGCCUAGGAAUCUGCCCGGCAGUGGGGGAUAACGUCCGGAAACGGGCGCUAAUACCGCAUACGUUCUGAGGGAGAAAGUGGGGGAUCUUCGGACCUCACGCUAUCAGAUGAGCCUAGGUCGGAUUAGCUAGUUGGUGGGGUAAAGGCCUACCAAGGCGACGAUCCGUAACUGGUCUGAGAGGAUGAUCAGUCACACUGGAACUGAGACACGGUCCAGACUCCUACGGGAGGCAGCAGUGGGGAAUAUUGGACAAUGGGCGAAAGCCUGAUCCAGCCAUGCCGCGUGUGUGAAGAAGGUCUUCGGAUUGUAAAGCACUGUUAGUUGGGAGGAAGGGCAGUAAGAGAAUACCUGGCUGUUUUGACGUUACCAACAGAAUAAGCACCGGCUAACUUCGUG
rnacentral:rRNA from 1 species